UACACUCAGAAUAAGACUUAAGAAAUCAUUAACAGUAGAAAAAUUCAUCCAUUGUUCGACAAUUAAUAAUCGCUUAUCACAUUGUAAAAGCUAUGUAUGUUAAACCAAUAAAAGACUCACAGAAACUUGUUCUCCAUUUCCCAAAAUAAACAAUCUAUGGAAUCUGAGCAAUUUCCAGCAAUAUUUUGUGGAGAGAUUGUGGUUUUGAAAAGAAAGGACAGUGGUCACUUCCUUUAAUCUUGAAGAAUCCUUCUGGUGGAUUUUCUCUCACUAGCUUUUCUUGGACAUCUGGUGAAAGUGCAUGAUCAUCCAAUGUUUGAAUGAAGAACCGCCUACUAGUUCCAUAUUUCUCAAAGGACAAUGACAGCUUCUCCAUUAUAGGACCCAAUGGGAUGGGUCUCAUACAAACCAUUGACAAAGCAACAUCCUUGGGAGAAAAGUCUAGUUUGAAUUUUACUAGCAAACUUUGUUGGUGAUUGAUUGAAAUAUAAACCUUUCAUCUGCUGUUUCUUAAACAUAAAUCCUGUAGGAGGGUUGUCUUUACCAUUCCCAUAUAUCAAA
rnacentral:misc_RNA from 1 species